CUACGGGCUGCUGCAGUGGGGAAUUUUGGGCAAUGGGCGCAAGCCUGACCCAGCAACGCCGCGUGGAGGAAGAAGGUUUUCGGAUCGUAAACUCCUGUCCCAUGAGACGAAAAAAAUGACGGUAUCAUGGGAGGAAGCCCCGGCUAACUCCGUGCCAGCAGCCGCGGUAAUACGGGGGGGGCAAGCGUUGUUCGGAAUUACUGGGCGUAAAGGGCGCGUAGGCGGCUUCGGAAGUCAAGGGUGAAAGCCCCGAGCUCAACUCGGGAACUGCCUUUGAAACCACGGAGCUAGAGUGUUGGAGAGGAAAGCGGAAUUUCCAGUGUAGCGGUGAAAUGCGUAGAUAUUGGAAGGAACAUCUGAGGCGAAGGCGGCUUUCUGGACAGACACUGACGCUGAGGCGCGAAAGCCAGGGGAGCAAACGGGAUUAGAUACCCGAGUAGUC
rnacentral:rRNA from 1 species